UGCUGUUUCAUUUGCUUCAGGUCUCUUCUUGGAAGACACCACACACAGAUGCGGUGCAGAAAAAGCUCCAGUGUGCAAAGACGACGAGACUUGCGCUUAUGUCUUCAAUCAAGUUUAUUGCUACAAGUGCCCCUGCUACGGACAGUUCAAUGUCACCUGUCUGAAGCAGAGCGACCAGUAUCCGGCCUGUGGACCAAACAGCAUCGCCACACUCUACGGCACUGAAUACAGCUGCGAUGGCUGCCGGUCGGCUAGUUCCGUGCUUGUCGCCCCCAACUAAGCACACAAGUGGAGCAUAUCAAACGACCAACCUCUGCUGAGA